GUGAAUCAUCGAAUCUUUGAACGCAAAUUGCACUCUCUUCGGAGCGUAUGCCUGUUUGAGGGUCAGUAUUAAUAAACAUCGGUAUGUUGCGUCUUUGUGGCGCUCCGGAGUUUGGGUCAUCUUCAUAUCCUUUAGGUUUUAAGAGGCUUAGAAUUACCUUUUUUUGCGCAUUUUAGAUGUACAUCAAUUCUUUUUUUUAUUCGUCUGUCUUAAUGCUCAAUUUCCUAUU
rnacentral:misc_RNA from 1 species